rnacentral:misc_RNA from 1 species
GUUUGAACUCCGAGGAUGGGAAAGCUGUCUCAACUGAACUAUUGAAUGAGGUUUUACCCUCUGUUUUCUAUGUAAUGCAAAAUUGUGAAAUUGAUGAAACCUUCAGUAUUGUGCAGUUCCUCUCUGGGUAUGUUGGCACAUUGAAGAGUCUGGCUCCAUUGACCGAGACACAAUCACUUCAUGUAGGUCAGAUACUGGAUGUUAUUCGGUCCCAGAUCCGAUUUGACCCAGCGUAUCGCAAUAACCUCGAUAUGUUGGACAAAACAGGAAAGGAAGAGGAAGAUCGGAUGACUGAGUUUAGG